GACGAACGCUGGCGGCGUGCCUAACACAUGCAAGUCGAACGGAGUGAUGAUUUCGGUUAUCACUUAGUGGCGAACGGGUGAGUAACGCGUGAGAAACCUGCCUUUCAGUGGGGGACAACAGUUGGAAACGACUGCUAAUACCGCAUAUGCUAACAGUAUCGCAUGAUACAGUUAGGAAAGGAGCAAUCCGCUAAUAGAUGGGCUUGCGUCUGAUUAGCUAGUUGGUGGGGUAACGGCCUACCAAGGCGACGAUCAGUAGCCGGACUGAGAGGUUGAACGGCCACAUUGGGACUGAGAUACGGCCCAG
rnacentral:rRNA from 1 species